rnacentral:rRNA from 1 species
ACCCGCUGAACUUAAGCAUAUCAGUAAGCGGAGGAAAAGAAACUAACUAGGAUUCCCCGAGUAGCGGCGAGCGAAAGGGGAGAAGCCCAGCGCCGAAGCCCGCGGCCUCUUGGCCGCAGUGCAAUGUGGCGUUUCGGCGGCGACUCGCGGCGUCCGCUCUGGCACGAGUACCUCUGAAUGGGUCGGCCCCGGCGGGUGUCAGCCCUCUACUUGCCAGUGGGGCGGGCGCUGCCUGUCGUCGUCGCGGAGUCGGGUUGCUUGAGAGUGCAGCCCAAAGUGGGUGGUAAGCUCCAUCUAAGGCUAAAUACCUAGUGCGAGACCGAUAGCAAACAAGUACCGUGAGGGAAAGUUGCAAAGAACUUUGAAAAGAGAGUUCAAGAGUACGUGAAACCGUUCAGAGGCAAACGGACGGAACUGGGCGAGUUCGCCCUCGUCAUUCAGCCGUGGCCGUCCUCGGGCGGCCGCGGUGCACUUGGCGGGGGCGGAGCGCGACGACCGCCUGUCGGCUCGUCAGAAGCCCGGCGGCAAGGUGGCGACGCGUUCGCGCGUCGUGUUACAGGCCGCCGAGGCGUUGGCUGAGCCGGCGGGCGAGGAGCGCCUGCGGUGCACUCCCCCGCCACGGCGGUGGGAGCGGCCCGACCGGUGGGCUUGCGGACGCCGGCCACGAACUGCCCGUCAGUUUGAGGUCGAGCGGGCCGUCUGUCGCGCCGGGCGGCGCCGCGUGGCACCCAGGGUCCGGGUCGCGUGGUUCCUGGCACUCCGUCCGACCCGUCUUGAAACACGGACCAAGGAGUUGAGCACGCGCGCGAGUCGAUGGGCUCGUAGAACCCCAGUGGCGCAGCUAAGGCAAAACGGGCGUGAUCCGGCACUGGCGUGUCGGCGCAACGCCGGCCCGCAGGCGACUCGUCGCAAGUGCCUGCGGUGCAAGAGCGCGUGUGCUCAGACCCGAAAGGUGGUGAACUAUGCUUGAGCAGGGCGAAGCCAGAGGAAACUCUGGUGGAGGCUCGCAGCGAUCCUGACGUGCAAAUCGGUCGUCAAACUUGAGCAUAGGGGCGAAAGACUAAUCGAACCGCCUAGUAGCUGGUUCCCUCCGAAGUUUCCCUCAGGAUAGCUGGCACUCGGGAUAAAUGGUUUUAUCCGGUAAAGCGAAUGAUUAGAGGCAUUGGGGACGAAACGUCCUCAACCUAUUCUCAAACUUUAAAUGGGUAAGAGGCGCGGCCCUUCCUGAUCGGGGUCGCGUGCUUGAACAGAGAGUGCCCAGUGGGCCGUUUUUGGUAAGCAGAACUGGCGCUGUGGGAUGAACCAAACGCUCGGUUAGGGUGCCCAACGCACGCUCAUGAGAGACCACAAAAGGUGUUGGUUGAUAUAGACAGCAGGACGGUGGCCAUGGAAGUCGGAAUCCGCUAAGGAGUGUGUAACAACUCACCUGCCGAAUCAACUAGCCCUGAAAAUGGAUGGCGCUGGAGCGUGCGACCCAUACCGGGCCGUCGGGGCAAUGCGUGCGAAAUGCCAGGCCCCGACGAGUAGGAGGGCGUGUCGGUGGCGCUGAAGCGUAGUGCGCGAGCACGCGUGGAGCCGCCUUCAGUGCAGAUCUUGGUGGUAGUAGCAAGUAUACAAAUGAGAACUUUGUAGACCGAAGUGGAGAAGGGUUCCAUGUGAACAGCAGUUGGACAUGGGUCAGUCGGCCCUAAGAGAUCGGAAAAUUCCGUUCUGAACGGGGGAGACGCGUCGCGUGGCGGCCGUCAGAGCGAACGUCUCUAGCUUUGAGUGAGCGGCGCGGUCACGCGCUCGCGCAGUGUCGACCCCGAUGCGAUCGAAAGGGAAUCGGGUUAAUAUUCCCGAACCUGGCAGUGGAGAUUGGGCCUUCGGGCCCCAGUGCGGUAACGCAACCGAACUCGGAGACGCCAGCGUCGAUCCCGGGAAGAGUUCUCUUUUCUUUGUUAGGAGCGGACUCCCUGGAAUUGGCUUGUCCAGAGAUAGGGACGUUGCAUCCGUAAAGCGUCGCGCCUCACGCGGCGUCCGGUGCAUCGGCGUUGGCCCUUGAAAAUCCGAGGGAGGCAGUGUAAUUUUCACUCCAGGCCGUACCCGAAUCCGCAGCAGGUCUCCAAGGUGAACAGCCUCUGGUCGAUAGAACAAUGUAGGUAAGGGAAGUCGGCAAAUCCGAUCCGUAACUUCGGGAUAAGGAUUGGCUCUGAGGUGCGGGCUGCUUCGGGUCGCGGCAAGAAGCGGAUCGUGCGUUGGUUGGACUGGGCGCGCUCCACGCGCGUCCGGACCGCCGCCAGCGCGCGUCCGUGGGAGGCCGUGGCUUUCGCCGGCGGGGGCUUCGGCCCCCGUCGGCUUCGUUCGGCCUAAACGCACAGCACAGAACUGGCACGGACUCUGGGAACACGACUGUCUAAUUAAAACAAAGCAUCGCGAUGGCCGCUGGUCGGUGUUGACGCGAUGUGAUUUCUGCCCAGUGCUUUGAAUGUCAAAGUGAAGAAAUUCAACCAAGCGCAGG